rnacentral:rRNA from 1 species
UGGACCUUGGCGGCAGGCCUACCAUGCAAGUCGAGCGGUAACAGAUCCAGCUUGCUGGAUGCUGACGAGCGGCGGACGGGUGAGUAAUGCAUAGGAAUCUGCCCGAUAGUGGGGGAUAACCUGGGGAAACCCAGGCUAAUACCGCAUACGUCCUACGGGAGAAAGGGGGCUUCGGCUCCCGCUAUCGGAUGAGCCUAUGUCGGAUUAGCUAGUUGGUGAGGUAACGGCUCACCAAGGCCACGAUCCGUAGCUGGUCUGAGAGGAUGAUCAGCCACAUCGGGACUGAGACACGGCCCGAACUCCUACGGGAGGCAGCAGUGGGGAAUAUUGGACAAUGGGGGGAACCCUGAUCCAGCCAUGCCGCGUGUGUGAAGAAGGCCCUCGGGUUGUAAAGCACUUUCAGCGAGGAAGAACGCCUAGCGGUUAAUACCCGCUAGGAAAGACAUCACUCGCAGAAGAAGCACCGGCUAACUCCGUGCCAGCAGCCGCGGUAAUACGGAGGGUGCAAGCGUUAAUCGGAAUUACUGGGCGUAAAGCGCGCGUAGGUGGCUUGAUAAGCCGGUUGUGAAAGCCCCGGGCUCAACCUGGGAACGGCAUCCGGAACUGUCAAGCUAGAGUGCAGGAGAGGAAGGUAGAAUUCCCGGUGUAGCGGUGAAAUGCGUAGAGAUCGGGAGGAAUACCAGUGGCGAAGGCGGCCUUCUGGACUGACACUGACACUGAGGUGCGAAAGCGUGGGUAGCAAACAGGAUUAGAUAUCCUUGGUAGUCA